rnacentral:rRNA from 1 species
CACGUGGGUAACCUGCCUGUAAGACUGGGAUAACUCCGGGAAACCGGAGCUAAUACCGGAUAGUUCCUUGAACCGCAUGGUUCAAGGAUGAAAGACGGUUUCGGCUGUCACUUACAGAUGGACCCGCGGCGCAUUAGCUAGUUGGUGGGGUAAUGGCUCACCAAGGCGACGAUGCGUAGCCGACCUGAGAGGGUGAUCGGCCACACUGGGACUGAGACACGGCCCAGACUCCUACGGGAGGCAGCAGUAGGGAAUCUUCCGCAAUGGACGAAAGUCUGACGGAGCAACGCCGCGUGAGUGAUGAAGGUUUUCGGAUCGUAAAGCUCUGUUGUUAGGGAAGAACAAGUGCGAGAGUAACUGCUCGCACCUUGACGGUACCUAACCAGAAAGCCACGGCUAACUACGUGCCAGCAGCCGCGGUAAUACGUAGGUGGCAAGCGUUGUCCGGAAUUAUUGGGCGUAAAGGGCUCGCAGGCGGUUUCUUAAGUCUGAUGUGAAAGCCCCCGGCUCAACCGGGGAGGGUCAUUGGAAACUGGGAAACUUGAGUGCAGAAGAGGAGAGUGGAAUUCCACGUGUAGCGGUGAAAUGCGUAGAGAUGUGGAGGAACACCAGUGGCGAAGGCGACUCUCUGGUCUGUAACUGACGCUGAGGAGCGAAAGCGUGGGGAGCGAACAGGAUUAGAUACCCUGGUAGUCCACGCCGUAAACGAUGAGUGCUAAGUGUUAGGGGGUUUCCGCCCCUUAGUGCUGCAGCUAACGCAUUAAGCACUCCGCCUGGGGAGUACGGUCGCAAGACUGAAACUCAAAGGAAUUGACGGGGGCCCGCACAAGCGGUGGAGCAUGUGGUUUAAUUCGAAGCAACGCGAAGAACCUUACCAGGUCUUGACAUCCUCUGACAACCCUAGAGAUAGGGCUUUCCCUUCGGGGACAGAGUGACAGGUGGUGCAUGGUUGUCGUCAGCUCGUGUCGUGAGAUGUUGGGUUAAGUCCCGCAACGAGCGCAACCCUUGAUCUUAGUUGCCAGCAUUCAGUUGGGCACUCUAAGGUGACUGCCGGUGACAAACCGGAGGAAGGUGGGGAUGACGUCAAAUCAUCAUGCCCCUUAUGACCUGGGCUACACACGUGCUACAAUGGACAGAACAAAGGGCUGCAAGACCGCAAAGUUUAGCCAAUCCCAUAAAUCUGUUCUCAGUUCGGAUCGCAGUCUGCAACUCGACUGCGUGAAGCUGGAAUCGCUAGUAAUUGCGGAUCAGCAUGCCGCGGGAAUACGUUCCCGGGCCUUGUACACACCGCCC